AUGUGGCUGCAUUGCAGAUACCAAUGGUUAACUUCUAACAUCAUGCUUCUGUCAACCAAGCUGUAAACUUACUAUAUUGUGUCCAACUUAAAAAAAGAAUUUCCGCAUAGCAUUUUCAAUUGCAAGCGCAAAUCCACACCAUAAGCAUUCUGACAAUGCAGUGCAAGAGUGGGACCCUAAUGACUCACGCGUUGUCUCCUUGACGAGGACUUGCGCUCCUCUUCUAAGAGUUGGGAUGCAUACGAAAGCACAAAUACUAGAAUUUUGAGCAGGCUGUCUACGUCAAGCAUUUUGUUUAACAUGCAGGCCUACCACGAUAGCGAUUUGUGUCUAAAGGGGACAAUGUGUAGACAACAUCUUCAAACUACAUAAGACGAUGGACAACUUUCCAAGUCCAUAAUAAGAUCCUAUAUAUCACAUGUCGGUAACUAAAAGCUAGUAAAUCAAAAGCAAUAAACUUGUAUGAGAUGGAGUAACCCUUAACUUUGAUAUCGUUAUCAAAAUGAUGAAUUAACAGAAAAGGAAAAAGAAUGUUAA